GACGAACGCUGGCGGCGUGCCUAACACAUGCAAGUUGAGCGAGAUGCUUAGAACAGAUUCCUUCGGGAUGAAGAUCUAAGUAUUCUAGCGGCAAACGGGUGAGUAACGCGUGAGAAACCUGCCUUUCACAAGGGAAUAGCCUCGGGAAACCGGGAUUAAUGCCCUAUGAAACUGUACUGCCACCUGGCAAAACAGUUAAAGCGCAAAGCGGUGAAAGAUGGUCUCGCGUCCCAUUAGCUAGUUGGUAUGAUAAUAGCUUACCAAGGCAACGAUGGGUAACCGGCCUGAGAGGGCGAUCGGUCACACUGGAACUGAGAACGGUCCAGACUCCUACGGGAGGCAGCAGUGGGGAAUAUUGCACAAUGGAGGAAACUCUGAUGCAGCCGCCGCAGUAA
rnacentral:rRNA from 1 species